rnacentral:lncRNA from 1 species
GCUAGCUAACAUGCAGCUCUGCACCACGAAAGGUGUCGUGUGGAAAAUGCAUCUUUCUCUGCUGAGAGAUAACCGAGGAGCUGGGGUAUCCCUUACACACCGAGCAAGAAAUGGAUGAUCAGAGGAAGAAAGAGACAAGGAGGCAGUGCGUGGCUGAAAAGUGUGAGGUAGAUAUGAGAGUGUGUACAGGCUGUGAGAGAAAUACUUCAUAAUCAUUUGGUGAGAGGGGACUUGUGGGGAGAGAAGGCAGUAUGGUGGCUGGUGUCCUCUGCGUAGUGGUGGGUUAAUCUAGAGUGGAGAGGUGGUGCUCAAUAGCUCUGACAGGGGGGAAAAAGUUGGAGAAUCUUGUGGAAAAGUAGAUGCCGAUGGAAAACCCAUGAAAAAAGCAACAGUAGACAAGAAGAAAAACAAAUCCGAGUGCUGCUAAAGAGACAAGAGGAGAGACUGAGAGGUCCGGGAUUGGAAAAAAGAGGGAGAGGGAGAUUGAAAGA